rnacentral:rRNA from 1 species
CCCUUAGACGUUCUGGGCCGCACGCGCGCUACACUGACCAGUGCAACAAGCAUCCGUCCUUGGCCGACAGGACCGGGCAAUCUUUGAACGCUGGUCGUGAUGGGGAUAGACUUUUGCAAUUUUUGGUCUUCAACGAGGAAUUCCUAGUAAACGCAAGUCAUCAACUUGCAUUGAUUACGUCCCUGCCCUUUGUACACACCGCCCGUCGCACCUACCGAUUGAAUGGUCCGGUGAAGCCUCCGGAUUGGCGCGCACCUCGGUGCCGCCGAGAAGUUGGCUAAACCUUACCAUUUAGAGGAAGGUGAAGUCGUAACA